rnacentral:rRNA from 1 species
AUACGGAGGGUGCAAGCGUUAAACGGAAUUACUGGGCGUAAAGCGUGCGUAGGUGGUUUGUUAAGUCAGAUGUGAAAGCCCCGGGCUCAACCUGGGAACUGCAUUUGAAACUGGCAUACUAGAGUAUAGGAGAGGAAAGUGGAAUUUCAGGUGUAGCGGUGAAAUGCGUAGAUAUCUGAAGGAACAUCAAUGGCGAAGGCAGCUUUCUGGACUAAUACUGACACUGAGGUACGAAAGCGUGGGUAGCAAACAGCAUUAGAUACCCUAGUAGUCC